GCAUGCCUACAACAUAGAUUUAAUUUACUCAAUCUCAUUAGAACUCCAUAGUUAAGUACACUUGAGAUAUAGUAUUACUAGGAUGGGUGACCGCCCGGGAAGUCCUAGUAUUUUACAUGCC
rnacentral:rRNA from 1 species